CCUACGGGGGGCUGCAGUGGGGAAUAUUGGGCAAUGGGCGCAAGCCUGACCCAGCAACGCCGCGUGAAGGAAGAAGGCUUUCGGGUUGUAAACUUCUUUUCUCAGGGACGAAGCAAGUGACGGUACCUGAGGAAUAAGCCACGGCUAACUACGUGCCAGCAGCCGCGGUAAUACGUAGGUGGCAAGCGUUGUCCGGAUUUACUGGGUGUAAAGGGCGUGUAGCCGGGUUGACAAGUCAGAUGUGAAAUCCUGCGGCUUAACCGCAGAACUGCAUUUGAAACUGUUGAUCUUGAGUACUGGAGAGGCAGACGGAAUUCCUAGUGUAGCGGUGAAAUGCGUAGAUAUUAGGAGGAACACCAGUGGCGAAGGCGGCUUACUGGACUGUAACUGACGUUGAGGCUCGAAAGCGUGGGGAGCAAACAGGAUUAGAUACCCUU
rnacentral:rRNA from 1 species